UGCAGGAUGUUGGGAGUUGAGAAAUUGUGUUGGAAAGUGUGUAACCUGAUCGAGGUCAGUAACGGUGUCAACUGCAUGGCUAUUCGAACGAAGUCUAA